rnacentral:rRNA from 1 species
UACGAAGGGGGCUAGCGUUGCUCGGAAUCACUGGGCGUAAAGCGCACGUAGGCGGCUUCUUAAGUCAGGGGUGAAAUCCUGGAGCUCAACUCCAGAACUGCCUUUGAUACUGAGAAGCUUGAGUCCGGGAGAGGUGAGUGGGACUGCGAGUGUAGAGGUGAAAUUCGUAGAUAUUCGCAAGAACACCAGUGGCGAAGGCGGCUCACUGGCCCGGUACUGACGCUGAGGUGCGAAAGCGUGGGGAGCAAACAGG